GACGAACGCUGGCGGCGUGCCUAAUACAUGCAAGUCGAGCGAAUCUUUUGGGAGCUUGCUCCCGAAAGAUUAGCGGCGGACGGGUGAGUAACACGUGGGCAACCUGCCUAUAAGACUGGGAUAACUUCGGGAAACCGGAGCUAAUACCGGAUACGUUCUUUUCUCGCAUGAGAGAAGAUGGAAAGACGGUCUCGGCUGUCACUUAUAGAUGGGCCCGCGGCGCAUUAGCUAGUUGGUGGGGUAAUGGCUCACCAAGGCGACGAUGCGUAGCCGACCUGAGAGGGUGAUCGGCCACACUGGGACUGAGACACGGCCCAGACUCCUACGGGAGGCAGCAGUAGGGAAUCUUCCGCAAUGGACGAAAGUCUGACGGAGCAACGCCGCGUGAACGAAGAAGGCCUUCGGGUCGUAAAGUUCUGUUGUUAGGGAAGAACAAGUACCAGAGUAACUGCUGGUACCUUGACGGUACCUAACCAGAAAGCCACGGCUAACUACGUGCCAGCAGCCGCCGUAACAC
rnacentral:rRNA from 1 species